rnacentral:rRNA from 1 species
UGCCAGCCGCCGCGGUAACACGGGGGGCGCAAGCGUUAUUCGGAAUUAUUGGGCGUAAAGGGCGUGUAGGCGGCGGUUUUAGUCAGGCGUGAAAGCCCCGGGCUUAACCUGGGAACUGCGUUUGAUACUGCCGCGCUAGAGAUCGGGAGAGGGUAGUGGAAUUCCCAGUGUAGAGGUGAAAUUCGUAGAUAUUUGGAAGAACACCGGUGGCGAAGGCGGCUACCUGGACCGGCACUGACGCUGAGGUGCGAAAGCGUGGGGAGCGAACAGGAUUAGAUA